ensembl:ncRNA F09F9.12 ncRNA
AGAAAGAAAAGGCGGGAUUGGCUAAUGCUGACCUACAUUUAUAAGCCGCCGGCUUCAUGAGGCGUUUCUUUUGUUAAAAACGUGUUGCAACUGGAUACGGGCCGGGUUGGUGGAGACGAAAAGCGAAAGAGACACCUUAUC